ACGUGGGGACAAUGCAAGCGACACGGAGCAUCCCCGCCAGGCGCUGUGUCCUCCUGAAACCACAGGAGGGUCUUUUGGCUUGAAGCCCGGUCCACAGAAUGAAAGAAGGGAGAGUCUACUGUUUAACGUUAGUUAUCAAACACUUAACUCAUGAAAACUUAACUGAACUUCAGUGGAGGUGCUUUCUUCCUUUCUUUGCUCCGAAACAGAGCUCACUUCCGAAGGCACGGCGCCCUGGUCCAGCUAAGCUAACAAAGCAACCCCACAACGCUUGAGGGAAAAAACCUGUGAGCUGAGAAUUUUGUAUCCAGAAAAACUGAUUUUCAAGUACACAAGGGAACGAAUGUCAACAUCAGAAACUCGGAGAGCAAUGACCCACGAGUCCUGAGAAACAUGGAGCCAAGCUGAGUGAAAGUCAGCUGACCACGUGGAAGGGGGACGUUGCACACUUCAUUCAACGACAGACCGUUUCACUCAGUCGGAAGAGAACGGAGAAUGGAUCCUCUACAAACCCACAUUCUCAAUGCCCGGGUGAGAAAACAGCCAAACCCAAGCCCCUCUAAGGGCGAAUGAAUCCUGUUUACAGAUGGUGUUCGCGUUGCUGUGAUAAUGAACGCUUUUCCCUCUAAUUUCCACCCUGGUCACAUUGCAGCAAAACGCACAGCAGCAGAGCUCCUCGCAGGCGCUCCCCAGGCCCUGCACCGUGUGGGGCGGAGCCUUCCAACGCCUUCCAGAAGGCAGGGCCGUAUUUACCGCCACGGAAUCCGACUCGGGAACGGAUCCUCUGCCGGCUGACGCCAGAGUGAAAAUGAGAGCUAACGGGACGUCUGAAAUUCAACCCCUGGGCACAGGCAGCAACUCAGCUCGCGGCCAAAAUGCAUGUUCUUCCUCGGUUUUGCCCCGGAUCCCAGUCAUUUUUUGAGGUUUGGCCGUCUAUGUAGAUUUAGAGAGUGGACGCCCUAAAGUCAGCACCACCUACGACUGGUUAUAGACACGGUGGUGAUUGUGUAAGGUAAGGACCACGACCAGGCGGGUCAGCGGUAAUGGACAGUCGGCGUCUAAUUCACGGGGCUUUGCUUCAGAGACUCAGGCUUCCGUCAGUCCCCCGAGAGGAGAUCCACUCGCCCCGUGUACCUCUCUCAACUCACCGGGAAACUCAACAAGGAUGCCCACUGUCAGCCAAGUCCAGCCCCGGUGAUGCUCUCUUACCUGCGCCGCGCGGCAGAGCCGGGUGGAGGUGGCGUGCGAGCUUGUCCACAGCGCCCCGGCGCCGCGCCCCAAAGGUGCAUCUGCGUGGCCUCCCCGCCACUCUGCCCUGCCGGCUGCAGGCUCUGCUGCACAGAGAAACAAGCAGGUGUGAGGGUCUCGGCCACCAAGCAGGUGCCUUUCUUCUGAGGGGAGGGUGCCUCCCGACUGCCCAUCAGCCCCAGUCUGCACACAGGGAGCUGCUGCCCAGGCCACAGGCAACUCCAGGGCCCGUGGGGACCCGCCACCAAGGUUCCCCCACGUGGGGGCCCCGGAGCCCGCAGAGCAGCGGGGAUACAGGGGGUUGAGGAGGAGCUGGCCUCAGCUGGCAGGGGAGCCCCGUCCCAGGGCUUCGGGGAUGCCACUGACACAGGGGUCCUGGCCCUGGAGAGGCAGGAGGCGCACCUGCAGGAUGUGGGGGACAUUAGAGAGCAGGUGGGGGCGAGGAAAGGAGACGAUGUCAGCCGCCCCUCAGGGAGGGUGAAGGGGAGCUCCUUUUGGAAGCGGGACUGCGGUGUGGGGUUUGGGGCCCGGGAGGGACGGGUGCCGGCGCCGCUCGUCUUCCCACACGGCAGGUGGGCCAGCAGCUCGGGCGCGGCGCGGGGAGGCCCCACGGCGGGGUGCUUGGAACUUGCGAGGCCAGAGGCCACUGAGCCAGAGCCCUGACCUUCCCCGGGUUGUGGAACGAGAAGUCUAAAUGCUGAGCGACGGGACGCCCAGAAGGGCUGCUGCGAGGAAGGCAAGCUGACCAAGAGCCGCCAGAUCCCGAAGGAAUCCAAGAACAGGUGCUGGAGUCACGAGGGUGGGGGUGGGUCCCUCGAGGUGCCCUUGGCCGUGGCCAGCAGACCUGAGGGUGCAGGCGUGGGCCGGACACGCGCAGGCGGAAGGGCGCGAAGCGGGUGGAGAGAGAGCUCGGGAGAAAGGGGCGUCUGCCCCCAGGACACAGCAGGACGGAGGGGAGGGGCGGGGGUGACCUGAAGCUCUGCCCUCACUGGACGUCGGGGGCUGGCCGGGCGCCCGCCACCCCACUCCUGCCCUCGCAGCCCCGUUUGAGCGCGGGCAGCAACGCUCCUGCUGAAACCUGGGUCCUGUAAAGGUGGGAAGGCCACGGCCUGCCAACCUGGCCCUGAGCCGGUGCUGGGAUGGUGGAGCUAAGGCUUAAAGAGGGAGAGGCUUUGCUGGGAAGGUAACUGGCAGCCCCUCUGAAAGCAAACGCGGCCCUGAGGAGGGGGCUCCUUUGGUUUUAACAUCUUCAGACGUGUGACGAGGUUAAGUAGAGAAAGUGCCUUGAAAGGGAAGCCCAGGAACAAUCCGUCGCUCACGGAUGCUGGGCGGGUCCAUUAACCACUGAGCCACCGCGCGAACUCCCACAAGCGGAGCUUUGGAGACAAAUCAGAGCCUGAGGGACAGGAAGAGACGGACCCCUCCAGCUCUUCCUCUGAGGACAGAAGAAACGGCAGCCAAAUCCAGGCCACACACUGGAUACAAACAACACGCACACACAUGGUGAAAAGCUCUAUUCUGAAGUCUCCGAUGUCGCCGGCAAAGGCAGCGAUUUGGAGGAAAGUAAAGUCGAGCCAUCAAGUCACUUCUCCUGAAAGCUGGGCUGGGGCGGGUUUGGGACGAGCAGAGAGCAAGCUGAGGGCGCCGGGGGCAGGGAGGUGUCCCCAGGGGACGGCACAGGAACCCACGGCGGGUGGCGGGUGACGUGGGAUGGAACUCAAGUCGGAGAAACACAACCGUGUGGUCACUCGGCUAAAGGGCGCCGGGCUUCGUUCAGGAGCCUGAGCCCUGGGCAGGAAGAGCUCCUGGAGAGGGACAGCGGGCAGGAGGGCUCAGUGCCCUCGGCCGCACUGCCAGGACCACAGCUGCCUCUGGUCUGCACAGUCCAGGGUCAGAACCAGAGCGCCUUGCCGAGCAGCGUCCCUAAGUGCUGACACGCAUCCAAACACACACUGUCCGUCUGACGCGGUUCCGAGGGGCUAAGCCAAUGGUGUUGGAUCCUGUGUGGACGCAGCGGGUGUGAGCCACAAAGUUAAGUUUGCUUUUUUUCCUUUUUAGGGCCACACCCACACCACAUGGAAGUUCCCAGGCUGGGGGUCAAAUCGGAGCUGCAGCUGCUGGCCUACACCACAGCCACAGCUACUGGGGACCCGGGCUGCGUCUGCGGCCUACACCACAGCUCAUGGCAACGCCAGAUCCUUAACCUACUGAGCGAGGCCAGGAUCUGAACCUGUGUCCUCAUGGAUACUAGUCGGGUUCAUUACCACUGAGCCACAGUGGGAAUGCCUGUCUGGUUUUCAGUGAUGGAGAAAGACCACAGGGACCUAGAACAUAAAUGCCCCAAAGUUUAUGGUUUUAUCUGACAUUCUACGCCUAGUGAUUUUAAAUGCAGGAAAUAAUAAUAAUUAUCUGAGUGAUGCUUGAAAACACGACGGGCACUGGCUCCUCCCUGCGCUGGAAGAACCUCAUGGACAGAGCUGAGCAGGUCCGCGCUGUCUGUGCUGACCCUGCAGACAGGCGUGAAAAACCCCCAAGCUUGGGCCCAAGGUUUACUCUGAGCUUGUGGCAGCCGCAGCCACCAGGGGUCCCUGGAGUAGAGUGACCAGCGCCCAGGGGAGGCCUGGGUCCGGGACGCCGGCCUCACAGGCUGGAGAAAGGCAGUGCGGCGGUGAUGUCAGGGUGCCACCUUCCAGAAACUCAGGCUCCGCCGGGCUGGUAUCAGAGACUGAUCAUAUCACAAAAGUGCCAGAAAAUCAGGGGCUUAAAAAUGCGCUAAGAGGGAGUUCUCUUGUGGCACAGCAAGCUAAGGAUCCAGUGUUGCCACAGCUGUGGUGCAGGCUGCAGCUACAGCUCAGGUUCGAUCUUUGGCAGAGGAACUCCCACAGGCCAUGGAGGUGGCCAAAAAAAUAGAGUUAGUAAAUGAAUAUUCACUUACUUCAAGAGGUAGUAU
rnacentral:lncRNA from 1 species